AGCGUAGACGGAAUGGCAAGUCUGAUGUGAAGGGCCAGGGCUCAACCCCGGGACUGCAUUGGAAACUGUCAAUCUAGAGUACCGGAGGGGUAAGUGGAAUUCCUAGUGUAGCGGUGGAAUGCAUAGAUAUUAGGAGGAACACCAGUGGCGAAGGCGGCUUACUGGACGGUAACUGACGUUGAGGCUCGAAAGCGUGGGGAAGCAAACAG
rnacentral:rRNA from 1 species